rnacentral:rRNA from 1 species
CGGAUAUUCUUUUUUACAUGGAUAACUGUGGUAAUUCUAGAGCUAAUACAUGAACAAGUGUUCCAACCACGGCUUGCCGUUGGAAGGAUCGCAUUUAUUAGUACAAGACCAAUGACUCUUAUUCACCUGGAACCCUGUUCAGUGAUUUCGGUCGCUGUCUAAGGACCAGCAGUGGGGGUCUAAGCACUUUCGAGUGCAUUUCUUGUGAUGACUCUGAAUAACUGAGCAAAUCGUAUGGCCUCUGAGCCGACGAUGUAUCCCUCAAGCAACUGCCUUAUCAACUGUCGAUGGUAGGUUAUGCGCCUACCAUGGUUGUAACGGGUAACGGGGAAUUAGGGUUCGAUUCCGGAGAGGGAGCCUGAGAAACGGCUACCACAUCUAAGGAAGGCAGCAGGCGCGCAAAUUACACAAUCCCAGUACGGGGAUGUAGUGACGAAAAAUAACAAUACGGGACUCUAUUGAGGCCCCGUAAUUGGAAUGAGUACAAUUUAAAUCCUUUAACGAGGAUCUAUUGGAGGGCAAGUCUGGUGCCAGCAGCCGCGGUAAUUCCAGCUCCAAUAGCGUAUAUUAAAGUUGCUGCGGUUAAAAAGCUCGUAGUUGGAUUUCAGUCAAACCUAUGGGGUCCACUGAUUAAAGGGUUAGAUGGUAAUGUUAGGUUUCUUGCUUGUGACUACGGUUACUUGCUUGAAUCUUUCUUCCUCUUUCCUGGUGGUUACAUUCAUAGUGUUUAGACAGAAAAUUGCUCGAUAUUUGCUAUCAAUGCUCUUUACCGAGUGUUGAUUCAAGCGAUCGAGACUUUUACCUUGAAAAAAUCAGAGUGCUCAAAGCAGGCGUCCAAAACCUUGAAAGAGGUGCCUAAAAACGGUAUGGUCAACCAUCUAUAUGAUGUGUACCAUUUACCUUAACUUGAAUGAUCUUGCAUGGAAUAAUGGAAUAGGACCUUGGUUCUAUUUUGUUGGUCUUAAGAAUCCAAGGUAAUGAUUAAGAGGGACAGACGGGGGCAUUUGUAUUGCGGCGCUAGAGGUGAAAUUCUUGGACCGUCGCAAGACAAACUACAGCGAAAGCAUUUGCCAAGAAUGUUUUCAUUAAUCAAGAACGAAAGUUAGAGGUUCGAAGGCGAUCAGAUACCGCCCUAGUUCUAACCAUAAACGAUGCCAACCAGCGAUCAUUUUGAGUAACUAAUUUCAUGACUCGAAUGGAAGCUUCCGGGAAACCAAAGUUUUUGGGUUCCGGGGGAAGUAUGGUUGCAAAGCUGAAACUUAAAGGAAUUGACGGAAGGGCACCACCAGGAGUGGAGCUUGCGGCUUAAUUUGACUCAACACGGGAAAACUCACCCGGCCCGGACACUGAGAGGAUUGACAGAUUGAGAGCUCUUUCUUGAUUCAGUGGGUGGUGGUGCAUGGCCGUUCUUAGUUGGUGGAGUGAUUUGUCUGGUUAAUUCCGAUAACGAACGAGACUCUAGCCUACUAAAUAGACUUGCAGUUUACACUGCAGUACUCCGCCUUAGUCAACCUGCAGGUGGUAGUAUCUUUGGAUGGCUUCGGCUGUUCAAAGCUCUGCUACUAUCAGCCUGUAGAAUUGGCUAGGGUAAGGAUUCUGUAGCACUGUAAGGACUUCUUAGAGGGACAAGCGGCGCUCGCAGCCGCACGAAACAGAGCAAUAACAGGUCUGUGAUGCCCUUAGAUGUCCGGGGCCGCACGCGUGCUACACUGAAGUGGUCAUCGUGCAUUCUGUUUCCUGCUCCGAAAGGAGUGGGUAACCGCUUGAACCCAUUUCGUGAUGGGGAUUGGGCAUUGUAAUUAUUGCCCAUGAACGAGGAAUUCCCAGUAAGCGUGAGUCAUUAGCUUGCGUUGAUUACG